rnacentral:rRNA from 1 species
ACCCCCCUUAAUUUUUGCGAGUCGAACCAUGAGCUACUUCGGGGGCGGAUUAGCGGCGGACGGGUGAGUAACACGUGGGUAACCUGCCUCAUAGAGGGGAAUAGCCUUCCGAAAGGAAGAUUAAUACCGCAUAAGAUUGUAGUUUCGCAUGAAACAGCAAUUAAAGGAGCAAUCCGCUAUGAGAUGGACCCGCGUCGCAUUAGCUAGUUGGUGAGGUAACGGCUCACCAAGGCGACGAUGCGUAGCCGACCUGAGAGGGUGAUCGGCCACAUUGGGACUGAUACACGGCCCAAACUCCUACGGGAGGCAGCAGUAGGGAAUCUUCGGCAAUGGACGAAAGUCUGACCGAGCAACGCCGCGUGAGUGAAGAAGGUUUUCGGAUCGUAAAACUCUGUUGUUAGAGAAGAAUGUUGAUUAGAGUGGAAAAUUAAUCAAGUGACGGUAUCUAACCAGAAAGGGACGGCUAACUACGUGCCAGCAGCCGCGGUAAUACGUAGGUCCCGAGCGUUGUCCGGAUUUAUUGGGCGUAAGCGAGCGCAGGUGGUUAAUAGUCUGAUGUAAA